rnacentral:rRNA from 1 species
CACGGGGGUUGCGAGCGUUGUCCGGAAUUACUAGGCGUAAAGGGCAGGCAGGCGGAUCCAUAAGUUUAUCGUUUAAGGCGUCGGCUUAACCGGCGUAGGGCGGUAGAUACUGUGGAUCUGGAAUGCGGUCGGGGAAGACAGAAUUCCUGGUGUAGCGGUGGAAUGCGCAGAGAUCAGGAGGAAUACCGAAGGCGAAGGCAGUCUUCCAAGCCGUUAUUGACGCUCAACUGCGAAGGUGUGGGUAUCAAACAGGAUUAGAUACCCGCGUAGUCCCUGA